GAUGAACGCUGGCGGCGUGCCUAAUACAUGCAAGUCGAGCGAACGGACGAGAAGCUUGCUUCUCUGAUGUUAGCGGCGGACGGGUGAGUAACACGUGGAUAACCUACCUAUAAGACUGGGAUAACUUCGGGAAACCGGAUCUAAUACCGGAUAAUAUUUUGAACCGCAUGGUUCAACAGUGAAAGACGGUCUUGCUGUCACUUAUAGAUGGAUCCGCGCUGCAUUAGCUAGUUGGUAAGGUAACGGCUUACCAAGGCAACGAUGCAUAGCCGACCUGAGAGGGUGAUCGGCCACACUGGAACUGAGACACGGUCCAGACUCCUACGGGAGGCAGCAGUAGGGAAUCUUCCGCAAUGGGCGAAAGCCUGACGGAGCAACGCCGCGUGAGUGAUGAAGGUCUUCGGAUCGUAAAACUCUGUUAUUAGGGAAGAACAUAUGUGUAAGUAACUGUGCACAUCUUGACGGUACCUAAUCAGAAAGCCCCGGCUAACUACGUG
rnacentral:rRNA from 1 species